UACGGGGGGGGGCAAGCGUUGUUCGGAAUUCCUGGGCGUAAAGGGCUCGUAGGCGGCCAACUAAGUCAGACGUGAAAUCCCCAGGCUCAACCUGGGAACUGCGUCUGAUACUGGAUGGCUUGAAUCCGGGAGAGGGAUGCAGAAUUCCAGGUGUAGCGGUGAAAUGCGUAGAUAUCUGGAGGAAUACCGGUGGCGAAGGCGGCAUCCUGGACCGGCAUUGACGCUGAGGAGCGAAAGCCAGGGGAGCAAACGGG
rnacentral:rRNA from 1 species